UACGGAAGGCAGCAGUAGGGAAUAUUGGGCAAUGGCCGAGAGGCUGACCCAGCCAUGCCGCGUGCCGGAUGAAGGCCUUCUGGGUUGUAAACGGCUUUUCUCAGGGAAGAAAAGGGGAUGCGUCCUCAACUGACGGUACCUGAGGAAUAAGCACCGGCUAACUCCGUGCCAGCAGCCGCGGUAAUACGGAGGGUGCAAGCGUUGUCCGGAUUUAUUGGGUUUAAAGGGUGCGUAGGCGGCCCGUUAAGUCCGGGGUGAAAGCCCACGGCUCAACCGUGGAACUGCCCUGGAUACUGGCGGGCUUGAGUCCAGACGAGGUUGGCGGAAUGGAAGGUGUAGCGGUGAAAUGCAUAGAUACCUUCCAGAACCCCGAUUGCGUAGGCAGCUGACUAGGCUGGUACUGACGCUGAGGCACGAAAGCGUGGGGAGCGAACAGGGAUUAGAUACC
rnacentral:rRNA from 1 species